UCUUCUUUAUCACCGAGUGCUUGCACUCACCGAUAAAGAGUUGAGUGGCGAACGGGUGAGUAACACGUGGGCAACCUGCCCAAAAGAGGGGGAUAACACUUGGAAACAGGUGCUAAUACCGCAUAACCAUAGUUACCGCAUGGUAACUAUGUAAAAGGUGGCUAUACUACCGCUUUUGGAUGGGCCCGCGGCGCAUUAGCUAGUUGGUAGGGUAAAGGCUUACCAAGGCAAUGAUGCGUAGCCGAAUUGAGAGGUUGAUCGGCCACAUUGGGACUGAGACACGGCCCAAACUCCUACGGGAGGCAGCAGUAGGGAAUCUUCCACAAUGGGCGAAAGCCUGAUGGAGCAACGCCGCGUGGGUGAAGAAGGUCUUCGGAUCGUAAAACCCUGUUGUUAGAGAAGAAAGUGCGUGAGAGUAACUGUUCACGUUUCGACGGUAUCUAACCAGAAAGCCACGGCUAACUACGUGCCAGCAGCCGCGGUGAUACGUAGGUGGCAAGCGUUAUCCGGAUUUAUUGGGCGUAAAGGGAACGCAGGCGGUCUUUUAAGUCUGAUGUGAAAGCCUUCGGCUUAACCGGAGUAGUGCAUUGGAAACUGGGAGACUUGAGUGCAGAAGAGGAGAGUGGAACUCCAUGUGUAGCGGUGAAAUGCGUAGAUAUAUGGAAGAACACCAGUGGCGAAAGCGGCUCUCUGGUCUGUAACUGACGCUGAGGUUCGAAAGCGUGGGUA
rnacentral:rRNA from 1 species